rnacentral:rRNA from 1 species
AGUAACGCGUGAGGAACCUGCCUCAAAGAGGGGGACAACAGUUGGAAACGACUGCUAAUACCGCAUAAGCCCACGGCUCGGCAUCGAGCAGAGGGAAAAGGAGCAAUCCGCUUUGAGAUGGCCUCGCGUCCGAUUAGCUAGUUGGUGAGGUAAUGGCCCACCAAGGCGACGAUCGGUAGCCGGACUGAGAGGUUGGACGGCCACAUUGGGACUGAGACACGGCCCAG